rnacentral:rRNA from 1 species
UUUGCUUAAAAUAAAAGGUCCAGCCUGCCCAGUGACACUGUUCAACGGCCGCGGUAUCCUAACCGUGCGAAGGUAGCGUAAUCACUUGUUCUUUAAAUGAGGACUAGUAUGAAAGGCACCACGAGAGUCAUACUGUCUCCUCUUUCCAAUCAGUUAAACUAAUCUCCCCGUGAAGAAGCGAGGAUAACUAUAUAAGACGAGAAGACCCUAUGGAGCUUUAAACGAAUAACACUUGCCCACUUUCUCCUUUAAAUUUCAGAAAAAUCUAUUACCUUGGCAUCAUACUUAUAAGUUUUUGAUUGGGGUGAUCACGGAACAAAAAAUAACCUCCGCAAUGAAAGACUCUCCAUAACUAAGUCAAGAACCACAACUCUACGCAUCAACAAAUUGACACCAAUUGACCCAAUUUAUUGAUCAAUGAAC